CUACGGCCACAUCUCGUUGAAACACUAGUUCCCAUAGGAUCACAGAAGUUAAGCAACGUGGAGUCUGGUUAGUACCUAGAUGAGUGAUCGCUUGGGAAUACCAGAUGC